UACGAAGGGGGCUAGCGUUGUUCGGAAUUACUGGGCGUAAAGCGCACGUAGGCGGAUUUGUUAGUCAGGGGUGAAAUCCCGGGGCUCAACCUCGGAACUGCCUUCGAUACUGCGGGUCUCGAGUCCGGGAGAGGUGAGUGGAAUUCCUAGUGUAGAGGUGAAAUGCGCAGAUAUCGGGAGGAACACCAAUGGCGAAGGCAGCUCGCUGGGACGUUACUGACGCUGAGACGCGAAAGCGUGGGGAGCAAACAGG
rnacentral:rRNA from 1 species